rnacentral:RNase_P_RNA from 1 species
UAAGUAAAUCGGGUGGCCGCUCCUUCUUCGGAGGGAGAGGAAAGUCCGAGCUCCACCGGGCAGGGUGCUGGGUAACACCCAGGAGGGGCAACCCUACGGAAAGUGCCACAGAAAAUACACCGCCCGCUAUGCGGGUAAGGGUGAAAAGGUGAGGCAAGAGCUCACCGGCGGCCGGGUGACCGGCUGGCUUGGCAAACCCCAUCCGGAGCAAGACCAAAUAGAGGGACAAAGGACGCCCGGCCUGUCCCGGGUUGGUCGCUUGACCCUUUCGGCAACGGAAGGGCUAGAUAGAUGGCCACCGUUCUUCCGGAAACGGAAGGAUACAGAACUCGGCUUAUAGAUUUACUUGGCUC